rnacentral:rRNA from 1 species
GUGGUGGUAGGCCUACCCAAGGCCAAUGAUGGGUAGCCGGGUUGAGAGACCGACCGGCCAGAUUGGGACUGAGACACGGCCCAGACUCCUACGGGAGGCAGCAGUGGGGAAUCUUGCACAAUGGGCGAAAGCCUGAUGCAGCGACGCCGCGUGCGGGAUGAAGGCCUUCGGGUGUAAACCGCUUUCAGCAGGGACGAGGCCGCAAGGUGACGGUACCUGCAGAAGAAGCCCCGGCUAACUACGUGCCAGCAGCCGCGGUAAU